ACGCUUGUAGCUCAAUUGGAUAGAGUAUCAGAUUUCGAAUUUGAAGGUUGCGGGUUCGAUCCCCUCCAAGCGUA
rnacentral:tRNA from 1 species